rnacentral:lncRNA from 1 species
GCCCGGUCUGUAGGCAUGCAGUAGGGCUGAGCACGGAUCGGGUUCGGUUGGAUUGAGAGAAAAAUUUUAUCCGAUCAAAUCUAAUUAGAUUAAAAAAAAUUCAAUCUGCUACCAACCGUUUAUUAUGUAUAAACCGUUUAAAACUGAAGUGAAUGGCAUGUAGCAGGUUCUGCUGUGUUGUAUCGAUUUGGACUUUAAUGUUGA